GGAUGAACUGAAUGAGUUUGCGUGGGACGAGCAUGUGUUGGCAACUGCGUUGAGGGAGGCGAGGAAUUACCAACUAAAGAGGGAGGCUGGGGCAAGUGGCUUCUGGAUAGGCGGCUGUCUACCUAUGUUCGUGGUAUGCCAAACGCAAAUCAUUUUGUCUAUGUUUUCAUUAGUUCAUAUUUUUGCUUUACUUUAUUUUAUUUUAUUCUGCUCGCAACAAUCAUAUGUACGAUACAACCUUCUGAUUUGUUUUCUUUUUCAAAAAUAUAUGUAGUUAAUUUACAUGGAUUUCCUGGAUGUGCCUCGGUCAUUGAUUAGUGAGGAGACGUUCAACUACUCGCUGCCCAGGGCUUGCUUUGUGUGCAAUGCAGAUUUUGAGCUUGUUAAAGAAUUUGACAGGAACAAGCUCACCCUCGAGAAGGUUGAUUUUGGAAAGCGCAAUCAUCGUCCUUUGUCUCAAACGCCAUAUGCAGUACUAAAGGCGGACAAGCGACGUGAGGGUCAGAAUCAACAUCAUCCGGCAAAUAUCACUAAUAGAGCUGAUAAAGCCAACACUCAAGUCAGUGUUGAGGGUGAUUUAGGUGCUAAGUUUCGCGUCUCUCUGGAUGAGUGGCUGCAGCCGCUCCCUUCCUGCCAAGAUUUACAGGUAGAAAUGCACUACCUUUUGUUAGUGCAUGAUUUUGCUUAUUUGUGUUCUUUUGAUCUUCUUUUUCAUUUUUAUUUAUGCUUACCCCCAUUUGUUUGUUUCUUAUUUUCUGUGCCAGAUACCUUUGCACUUGAAGCCUAUAUAUGAGAAGCACAAAAAUCUCUAUACGGCACAGUUGAAGAAUGUUGUUACCUCUUUUGGGCAGGUCCUGCAGUCAACUUUCUGCAAGCGGUUGGCUCUCAUGUUGAUGGAAGCGCACUCCAAUGCAGUGUCAAACCAUGAGCACAGGAGUGAAGGUUUUGUCGCCCCAAGAGUCAUUGCAACAAGCAGUGUCGAGCGCACAGGAGCGGUGACUAUUGGCACCCCAACAACCACUGCAGCAGGCAUUUCUAUCCACUCUUCCAAGUGUCCAUUAUCGGAUCCUGAUUCCCGGGCAGAAGCAGGUGCUGAUGAUCAGAACAAGGCACAACCUGGUGUUGUAGUCGCUGCUCCCAAAGUAGUGGAGACCGGUGCAUUAGGUGAGAAGGUUGGGGUGGAAGCGGAACAGGAGGCGGGUCAAAGCACAAGCGUUGCUAAGCGUUCCAGGGCUGCUGCAUUGCAACAAGGUGAGAGUAGCAAUCAUUCUCAUGGGAAGGAUUGUGUGGAGCAGGAGGAAGUUAUACAUCAGGGCGGAAAGGUGACCCCCAAAGAUGCUUGCAACAUCGAUCCUUCAGGAGCUUCUGAUAAGGUUGAAACACCAGUUCUUUCCCAGGGCACGGUGCAGGCAAUGAUGCUAACUGCCUUGGAGUGGGAAGAUGGCCCAUCUUGUGCUCUUUUCUCGGAGGGGACCGAAGACUAUGAGUGGAUGAAUCAAAAAGUAGACAUACUAGUCAAGCAUGUGCAGACACCAAAUGCUUCUAGCUCUGAUGUGCAGAAUUCAAUCCCAUCAGUGCCAAACUUUGACAACACUCCUCAAGUUGAAAGGCCUAGCAACCUCCCAACCGCAACAUUUGACACAACUGCAAAGCUCCCUAGGGCAAACGACAUUCCGGGGCCUGUGUUUGAUGUGUCCCCCAUCUCAUUCAAAAACGCUUCCUCCGAUGGACCUCAAGGUUUUUUCUUGCUUCAGAACACAAGCUCCUUUUUAUCUAAGAGUUUUCUCAGUGCAUUUCCUUUUUGCAUUCUCAUUUUUCUUUCUGUUUUUUGUGUUGUUGCAAUGUUGUGCAGUAGUAGUGGAUUUGCACGAGACAACCGAGGCGAAUGUUGCGGUCAGGGGUGAGUCCAACAGUCUUGGUAAACAGUCAAAGAAGAAAAGGGUGGCUGUCUCCCCAGACAAUGUGCCAACGAUGAAGAAGAUUAAGGUUGAUGCACACGGUGAUGCCUUACACCAUCACUAUGUAAUGACCAGAUACAAGACAAGAAAACCAAAGAAAAACGAGCUUUUGUGAGUCAUAUGAUGAUGCUUUUCUAUUACUCAUUUUUGCCUGAAAUCUUUUUUUUGUGUUUCCAUAGAUGAAACAGUUUGAUAUGUGAGCAUAUCUCUUGUUGUUUUUAUCUAAAAUCAACACAAAUUUUCUUUUGCAGUCCCAACUUCAUUGAAAGAGAUGGCUUCCAUACAUCUCUCGAGAAUUUUCAUGCAUCUCUAAAGCCAAGAGCGGAGAUUGACAAUGAGGUCAUGACCUUAUACCUGAAGACAUUCAACUAUGAUCAGUCAGUGAAGAAGAAGAAGCCAAAAAAUUUUGUUUUCUCAGUGUUGAUGAGUUUGAAACUCAGUGCUGAGCCAGAUGUGUUUGAUCCGAAGGUGUGCGAAAAAGAAUUUAAGAAUGCUUGCUUACAAAAUCACAUUUCAAAAUCUGACCUGCUAUUCUUCAUGGUUGUACACAAAAAGCACUGGGCAGUAGUUGUUGUUAACAUCACCCAAAAGGAGUUCAAUAUCUUUGACUCCAUUAGGAACUCGGAAGACCUUUUUGAGAUGGACAGGAUCACUAAGAAUGUGGUCGCAAACAUCAAGAGUGUUGCAAUGAGGGAGCCACUUUUUAAGCACAAUCUCGAGUCUUACUCGCUAUUCACCCCACUUGAUUACCCUCAACAAAAAACUUAGUAAGCAUUUUUGUCCCAGCAGAAUAUGUGUUUAUUUUGCAUUUAGAGACAUUUUUCUCUUUUUUCACCUAAAGCUGCUUUUGCAUUUUAUAACUAUAUACCUUCUAUUUUUUCAGCUAUAACUGUGGCCUUGUUAUGCUGUCAUUUGGCGAGGUAUUUUCUUUAGAUAGCAAACCAUAUUUUUUUGUGUAAUUCUUCUCAACUUGAUUGGGAUCUGUUUCAUGACUAAAUUUUUACUUGUUUCCUGUCUUAUUGCUUCCUAGGAUUACAUCCCAAACCUUCGGAAACACAUUGCAGCAGAUCUGUUGAGACACCGAAGCAACAAGUUGGACCCCGCGCAUCAGCUAAAGCUGCUUCUUCAGCGUUAGAUGGGUGUUUUCGAGCUUCUGCAACAGGAGGAGUCAUGGCAGCGGUGGCCUAGUACUGCUGACGCGAGUUUUUGUAGCUAGCUAGAGUGUAGUUGGGAGCAUGUUCUUGUAGCCAGCUCGAGUGUAGUUGAGAGCUUGUUCUUCUAGCCAGCUCAACUGAACUUUUUUCACAAUGCAACUCUGAGUGAAGCACAGGAAUGUUUCAGUGUGUGACUGUAUGCAAGGAUUUGUUUUUUGUGAAGCCUAUUCAAGAUUGUUUGUCAGCUUAUGCAAGGAUUAUUUGUUUUUUACUUGCCUUUUCAAGAAGAUUGUUGAUAUACUUUGA